UAACACAAAAGAUUGUUUUAUUGGUUGUGCACUUAUCGUUUUUAUCGAGGAACCAAGAUUCAUUUAUGUCUUUUACAAAAAGGGCAUACAAAAAGAGAUGCAGUAGACGUGUCCAAAAGGAAUAUUAAAAAAUACUAGAAUUUUCAUCAGUACAUAUCGAAAAAAAAUCGAAUGUUGGAACUUCUAAAAGAAAUGAUUUCUUAUCUUGCGAAAAUCUAAAAGAAUAUUUUGACCAUCAUGAGUCAUCUAUUUUGUACAAUGAAUACUCUUAUGACCAAAAGCCUAAUGAGUAUAAGCAUAACCCAACUUUAAAGGAAAGUUUUUCUGCAUUUUUUUCUAACCAAGUAAUGUUGCACUAAACAAGUGAAUUGACAAAGAAUAGCAACAAAUUUAUUGUCCCAAAAAAACUAUAAUCAUGCACUGAAAAACAACCUUUCGUCAACAAAAGAAUGGCACAAAUUUCCAUUGAUAAAAUGUAAGAUAACAGAUGGUCAGUAUCUAACUUGUUUUGUGUUUUUUUUUAAAAAGUAACUUAAUUACUUUUUUGCAGCAAAAUGUUUUAUAAUUAGAUUCAUUUUCAUGUUGUGAAGAAUACAACUUUCUACAUCAGAUGAGAUAUAUGCUAAAGAAAGCAUUAAAAAUAAGAAUAACAAAUCAUACCGCUCUUCAUUGCCAGAACCUUCGCCACCUAUUAUGAAUAAGCCCAAUGCUAAAAGUGUAUAACACAAAUAUCAUAAUUUUUUCUUAAUGGUUUUUAAACUGAAAUAGAUUCUUGUUUAAUUUGAUCUGAAUAAUAUCUAUCUAGUUAUUAGUUAGCAUUCUAUUGUAUUAAAUAAUCCUUUAAUCAACUUGAUAUGAAAAUUAAAAAUUAAUUGAAAGCAUGCUGAAAUUGUUUGAAUUCAGAAAUUGAAAGAGUACAAAAUUGGUUGAAAGAUUAAAUUAAGUAACAGGAGGAGAUAUCAAGAAUUGCUCUUGAGCCAAGCCCAAAGAAAAAUACACGAAAGUUAUCACCAGGGCUGUGGAGUCGGAGUUGCGGAGUUGAGACAAUUUCAUCGUAGUUGGAGUCGCUAAACAAAAUUGCGACUCCAACUCCAAUAGUAAAACUUCUCAGUAUUGUACGUGCAUGUACAAAACAUUCAAUUAACCUUAUGUUUAUACUAAACCUCAAAGAACGUUUCAUAAAUUUGUCAAAAAAGAAACUUAUCCCGUAAUAUUUUUUAAAGAAUUUAAAAAAUUUUUCUAAACGAAUGAUUUGGAGUUGUAAUCGAAGUUGGAGUUGGAGUCGGAGUUGUGCUCAAAAAAUUUCAACAACUGGAGUCGGAGUUGGAGUUGUACUUAAAAAGUUUCAACAACUGGUGUCGGAGUCAUUUUUUUUUUUUUACAACUCCACACCCCUGGUUAUCAGUAACGGUUUCCAAUCUGCCUCUCUUGCCUUUGUCUGAUUCUACAGAUAAAGUUUAGCUGAUUUAAAAAAGAUGCAAAAUGUUAUUCUCAAGGAGCUUGCAGAAAUAAAAGUUCUUUUAAAAAAAGUUAUAGAAAUUAAGUUUCAGGCUACUGGGGUGAAGUUGCUAGAAUCAGUGGACGAAGUGGUUACACUGGAUAAUAAACUAAAAGAUAAAACCGAGUAUACUAAUUAGCUUGAUAGUUUGAAAAAAAUUGGUGGCGGAAAACCAAGAGAACAUGUUUUUUUGAUCAUGAAAAGGUUAUUUUCGAUCAGUUACAGUCCAAAUUAAAUUGAAAAGGAAAUGGAAAAAAGAUAAGCUUAGAAAAUAUAUGAAGUGUUUUACAAGAUAUCGGCGACGUGAAAGAAGAUAUUGACGGCAAUGCAGAAAUAUAGUUUUUUAUGUAUAUUUUUGUGAAAUAAAAUUAAGUAAUUUUAGUUAAAA